GAUGAACGCUGGCGGCGUGCCUAAUUCAUGCAAGUCGAGCGAACAGAUGAGGAGCUUGCUCCUCUGACGUUAGCGGCGGACGGGUGAGUAACACGUGGAUAACCUACCUAUAAGACUGGGAUAACUUCGGGAAACCGGAGCUAAUACCGGAUAAUAUAUUGAACCGCAUGGUUCAAUAGUGAAAGACGGUUUUGCUGUCACUUAUAGAUGGAUCCGCGCCGCAUUAGCUAGUUGGUAAGGUAACGGCUUACCAAGGCAACGAUGCGUAGCCGACCUGAGAGGGUGAUCGGCCACACUGGAGCUGAGACUCGGUCCAGACUCCUACGGGAGGCAGCAGUAGGGAAUCUUCCGCAAUGGGCGAAAGCCUGACGGAGCAACGCCGCGUGAGUGAUGAAGGUCUUCGGAUCGUAAAACUCUGUUAUUAGGGAAGAACAAAUGUGUAAGUAACUAUGCACGUCUUGACGGUACCUAAUCAGAAAGCCACGGCUAACUACGUG
rnacentral:rRNA from 1 species